UGACUUUUGAUGAACAUAUCAUUAGAAUCCAAUGGUGCAAUACUUUGAUUUAAAUCCUUAAUUUGGCUAUGGUAAUCCAAGAAGCUUGAGAUUACCUAGACUUUUCUUAAUUGUUGAAAUGGAUAGAGAAGCUCAUAACAAUUUCCUUAGUCAAAGUCACUAAUUCCAAAUAGCAUGUAAUUAGUGAAAGUCAACUAACAUUAAGAACCAAAAAGUCACCAAAUCCAAGAGGGGUCAAAUGCUUUCACCACCAUGUUGGAGGAAAUGUUUUUAUGAUUGUGUGAAGCAAAAACAACACAAAAAUCAUUUGUUGCUUGCUAAUUUGAGGAUCAUUUACUUAAUCAAGAAAUUAGCCAACUAAUCACCACAAACACAUUUAAACUCAUGAAUAAAAACAUACUAGUAGUGAUAAAAUGAUAAAACACAAAACAUUUCCAUAAAGAUUUAAGAAUAAGUUCAUGGAUUCUUCAACAUUCAACAAAAGUUCAAAGGAUUCAACAAGAAAUCAACCAAGAUUAGUUUAGCCAAGCAUGGCUAAACUCAAAGAAACAAAGUUAGAUGAAAUUGUACCAAACAUUUUACAAAAAUUAAGAGGUGAAAUCAAGAUGUUUUUCAAGUGUUCUUGGCCUCAAAAAGUGCUUCAAACUCCAGAGAGAAAGUAUCAAAAUCGGACCUUCAAGAUCUGGCUAAAGAGGUACACCCACCUUCCCAAUAUAGAGCUCUUAGCAAAAUCCCGAAAUUGCCCUUGUCAGGAAUCCACGCGGGCCGCAGGGAAUCUUACGCGGGCCACGGGCUCUGACAGGUAUUUUUGAUCUUUUUCAAGUUUUGGGCCCCCACAACUAAUCCAUUGCCCAGUUCGAAUCCAAUCAACUCCUAGCCCAUUUUUCUUCAAUAUUUCUUCAAUUAAAGCCCAAUUUGUCUAUCCACAUCACUCUAAACUUCCGCUAACUCCCAAAUAUUGAUCUUGCACACUCAAGAAUUCUCCCGCGUCUUUCAAAUUUAAAGCUCAAUUCUUCCAAGCCUUCAAGCAAUUGACAAGUCCACCCCAUGAGUCACCUUCAUAGCCAUCAAGCACGAAAUCCCCAAUUCCCUUCAAGCCCAAUCGCCUCCCAAGAGUGCCGCCCCGCUAGUUUCCAAGAAAAUCUGCAAUAAUGCUCAAGAAACUAGAAAGUACCCCGAAAUGGCCAUAAAAAUAACAAAAGGGAAAAUAUGCAUGGAAGUUAACUAAAAUGUGAAUGAAAUGUACUAAAAUAAACUAUAAAAAGAAGUAAAUAAAAUGAAGCUAACAAAUCACCCCAAGCUUAAACCUUACGUGUCCUCAAGUAAGACAAGACUAAAUGAACUUGGGACGAACUACCCUAGAAAUAAAAAGAAUGGAUAGAACCAUGGAACCUAUUCGAUGUUAGUCAACAUGGUCAGAAUUGAUCUCGCUGCUGUCUCACAACUUUUUCAUCCGAUGACAAUGGGACCAUAAACCACAGCCAGGACAACUCCUCUAGGUGAAUAAGGAGGGAUGGUCAGUCGUAGUCUUAAUGGAACAUGCAUACAAUGAAGAACAUCUGUAGUAGGGAGAAAGCAACUGGAUGGGCUCAGGUGGAGCUCUUCUGUAAGUGCACACUCUGAUCUCACGUCUUCCGGUUUCUCUCAUGUGUAAUUGGGUUUAAUCGCCCGGGCACCGUUGUAGGAAUCAUUUCACUUAGUGUUGGCCCAAACCUCCCGUAGUAUCCAACUCGACAGUCUCCCUAACAUCACCAAUUUGCGAGAGAAAAAAAACAACUAGAUCUAUAUAUAAUAAAACAGACCUAUAUAAAUGAAUAUCAAACACCGGGUGACCAAGAUGAUGGGAAAUUUGUUCAAUAAUUGAACCGAACACCUAUCUAAAAUAGUUGCAAUUGAAAAUUUGCAUGCUUCUUUUUGCUUUGUUUUGUUUUUUUUGGUUUUUUUUUGUUUUUUUUUUGUUUGAUACUUAAAGGUAAUGUAUUAACAAUCGAAAAUUUUAACAAGAAAACCCUUUGACUAAAAUUUUGGUUCCCAAAAGUGUGUAAGUGGAACCGAAAGGGUAAUGAUAUAAUCUGAAUGGCCUAAGUGUGAAAAUGACCAUGUGUGGAGCAUAAAGAUGUAAUAUAAGCUCCUUUUCAAACUCAUGGUUUUUCAAAGAUAAUGAAAAUGUCCAAAUGUGGACUAAAAGACUCUUUAAAAUUCUAACAAAAUCGCAAAAAGAUAUGGUGAUGUAAAGAGACCGGAUAUGGAUUCUACUCGGGGACAAGCACCAAUGCUUCAUCCUAACAGUUCAAACAUCAUCAAGUGUGAUCCUCUCAGCGGUAGUGACCGUAAGUCUAAGAACAUCCAUUGUUAUGGUAUAUCCUACAGUUGUUAGUAUUGUAUGCAUAAUUCUUCAUGAAACUACCUGGCCAUGAUCACUUACCCCUUUAAGCUACCAGCAUCUGAUCCCAAGUAUGAAAUCCCAAAUUGCGGCUAGUGGUCCCGGUUCGAUGGGUGAGGUAGCAACAAGAUCCUAGACCAAUAAUGAUACAAUAACUGUGAACCUGUUCCAUGGCAUCCAAGAGAUGUGAGAAUAAAUAGACAACAAAAAUGCAAGAAUGUUAAUGCCUUAAGCUCAAUGUUAUGCAAAAAUAAAAAGUGGAAAAGAGAAAAUAAAAUCUUUUUGAAAUUUUAUAACAUAAAAAAUCAAUGCAAAUUAACUUAAACUAAUAUGUUAUGCAACCUAACUAAAGAAAAAUGAAUGAAAAAUUAAAAAGAAAGGGAAAUGCCCCACCCCAAGCUUAAGAACAAACAUUCUCCUCAAUGCUUAAGGAAAGGGCGGAAAUGACCUAAAUUGAAGGGUUGGGUAGAGCAUAAGGGUUUGUAGAGAAGGAAAAAUGGUGAAUAAUGGUUGUGGUCUCGAGGGAUUCCGACCGGUAGAUCUCCGGGAAAUCGAGUUUUUGUGUGGAGCGCGGGCGGGGCGCGGGCCGCGUAGAGGCCGCGUGUAACAUUCUUGGUUUCCUCUUGAGUUCACAGAAGGUUCAGAAGAAUUUUGGGUCAAAACACGCGGGCCACGUAAAGGCCGCAUGAACUGAAGCUCAAAAAAUACUAAGUGUUGAAACCAGCCCCGCGGGCCGCGUGGAACCCGCAUGCCGGCCGCGUUAGCUGAACAGGGCUAGAGGUGAUUGUUUUACGCGGGCAAGGAAUGGGCGGCACAUAAGCCGCACAUGACCUUACGCAGGCCGCAUGACUUCCUGCACCUUAAAAUUUGAAAUGUUUCAAAAAACUUGAUUUUUGGCUUAAAUGAUUCCCGCGAAGUCCCGGUUUCAAAAACCCAAUAAAAGGUUUGGACCAAAGGNCGGGCAAGGAAUGGGCCGCACAUAAGCCGCACAUGACCUUACGCGGGCCGCGUGGAUUUUCCCGCGGGCCGCGUGACUUCCUGCACCUUAAAAUUUGAAAUUUUUCAAAAAACUUGAUUUUUGGCCUAAAUGAUUCCCGCGAAGUCCCGGUUUCAAAAACACAAUAAAAGGUUUGGACCAAAGGUGAGAAUAAAGCUUGAAAUUUUUCAAAAAUGAACAUUUUCAAAACAAAAAAAAACUUUCAAAAUCAUUUUAUUCGGUUUAUAAAAGACGAAAGCACAAUGCUUCCCAAAAAUGCCCUUCUUUAACGUCUUUGGCAAGACGCCUCCAAACUUCACUUUAACACUUUGGGGCAUCCAAAUGGACGACAUCUUGGACAUUUGAAUCAAAACCUUCAUAGAAAGGUUUCAACCGAUGUCCAUUAACAUUGAAAAUUUGCCCCGUGUCGACAUUUUUUAGUUUCCACACCUCCAUUAGGUCUCUUUUCUUGUAUUUGACUUUCUUUUUAUGGGAGAACCAUACCGGACUUAGACCUUUGAUAAUAGAAAGCAUCCAACCAUAUUCUUUAUUGUACUUGUUCAGUAAGGUGAUCAACUCUUCCAUCUUUGACAUGGUGUUCAAGUUGGUGACCGGUUGGGCGUCUUCAUUCUCGACAUAUGUAUCCUUUAAAGGGUCCGACAUAUUUAUCAUUCCCGGCUCUUGUGGUUCAUCUACCAUUGGAGUUAGUUUCUCAAUGGUAGUGGGUGGCUCAACCUCUCUUUUGUUAACACCGAACACUUCCUCUAUAGUUUCAUUGACAUCUUUCUCAAUUUCUUCUUCCUCCUUGAUAGCCUCUUCCACUUCUACUCCGUCUUCCUCUUCUCCACAUAACACUCUUGGGCCAUCAAAACUUUUCUCAUCUUUCAAAGGAAUGGCACAUGCGCUAUGCCAUGGGCUCUCUUCAGAUUGUAAUUUGUCUUGAUAUUCCAUUAUACUUACUGAUUGAGCAAUUUGUGUUAUUUGUUGCUCUAAGCUUUUGAGGCUAGCUUGGGUUUUUUCUUGGAAAAUUUGGGUAGAUGUGGCAAUGAUUUUCACAAUCUCCUCUAAGGACAUGGUUGGUGUUUCAAGUUGUUGAGGAGGUGGAGGAUAUGGAUGUUGGAAUUGUGGAGUUGGUUGGUAUUGGUCAUUUCUCCAAGCUUGGUAUGGGCUUUGGUAUUGAUUGUAUCCCCAAGCUUGGUUGUUGUCCCACCAUUGAUCAUUAUGAUGUUGAUCAUAACUCCAUUGGUUUGACCAGUAGUAACUUCCCUUCUCUUGCACUUCUUCCCAUUCUCCUUGUAAAUAUGGACACACGUCGGAUUGAUGUCCAUUUUGGGCACAAAAAUCACAAAGAAUAGGUGAGGGUUGCAUACUUUGGUCAUUUUCAAUCAUCAUAACUAACUGAGCUAGCUCAGAAAGUUUAUCUUAAAUACAAGGAGUGUUCAUUCCUGAACCAUACUUUUUUCUUCAAUUUUUUAGUUUUAAACUAGAGUACCUGCACAAUGAGAUCUAGGCAUAGAGAAACAAAUUGAUUAAAAAUAAACCAAUCCCCGGCAACGGCGCCAAAAAUUUGGUGGUUGUCGAGGCCAACACAAAUAAUAACCCUAAAUAUUACACACUAAAAUAGUGUAUAGUGGUAAAGGGAUCGAAUCCACGGAGAUUGGUUCAAUUUAUAACUCUAUGAAAAAUCUCUUUGUAAAAAUACUUGUAAAAUGACAAUAAAAAUAAAAUGGGGGGUUUUGGUGUUUUGAAAUACUUGAAACAAACUAGAAUUAACUAUGAAUUAAAUGGACAAUUUCAACAAAGAUAAGGGUUUGAUGUAAAAUCAGUAAAGGAGAGAUGGUUGACUUAAAGUUUCCUCACUUUGACUUUUGAUGAACAUAUCAUUAGAAUCCAAUGGUGCAAUACUUUGAUUUAAAUCCUUAAUUUGGCUAUAGUAAUCCAAGGAGCUUGAGAUUACCUAGACUUUUCUUAAUUGUUGAAAUGGCUAGAGAAGCUCAUAACAAUUUCCUUAGUCAAAGUCACUAAUUCCAAAUAGCAUGUAAUUAGUGAAAGUCAACUAGCAUUAAGAACCAAAAAGUCACCAAAUCCAAGAGGGGUCAAAUGCUUUCACCACCAUGUUGGAGGAAAUGUUUUUAUGAUUGUGUGAAGCAAAAACAACACAAAAAUCAUUUGUUGCUUGCUAAUUUGAGGAUCAUUUACUUAAUCAAGAAAUUAGCCAACUAAUCACCACAAACACAUUUAAACUCAUGAAUAAAAACAUACUAGUAGUGAUAAAAUGAUAAAACACAAAACAUUUCCAUAAAGAUUUAAGAAUAAGUUCAUGGAUUCUUCAACAUUCAACAAAAGUUCAAAGGAUUCAACAAGAAAUCAACCAAGAUUAGUUUAGCCAAGCAUGGCUAAACUUAAAGAAACAAAGUUAGAUGAAAUUGUACCAAACAUUUUACAAAAAUCAAGAGGUGAAAUCAAGAUGUUCUUCAAGUGUUCUUGGCCUCAAAAAGUGCUUCAAACUCCAGAGAGAAAGUAUCAAAAUCGGACCUUCAAGAUCAGGCUAAAGAGGCACACCCACCUUCCCAAUAUAGAGCUCUUAGCAAAAUCCCGAAAUUGCCCUUGUCAGGAAUCCACGCGGGCCGCAGGGAAUCUUACGCGGGCCGUGGGCUCUGACGGGUAUUUUUGAUCUUCUUCAAGUUUUGGGCCCCAACAACUAAUCCAUUGGCCCAGUUCGAAUCCAAUCAACUCCUAACCCAUUUUUCUUAAAUAUUUCUUCAAUUAA
rnacentral:lncRNA from 1 species